GUGUCACUGCAGACUCGCCAGGCCCUGGGGCUGCCCGGCGCUCAGCCGUGCGAGCCUGAACCCAACUGCAGCUCCCCAGGCUUCUGUCCUCUGUGCCUCGCAGCCAGCGGUGGGCUCCCCACCCUGCACCCACCCCUCCUGGUGGAGGCGGGACCUGCAGCAGGCUUCUCCCUAGGGCAGUCGGGGCUGGCGCUCAGGGCGCACUCCGUCCUCAGCACCCCGGGAGGUGACGUCUGUGCUCCCAGGAGGCGCCUUUGGCUUAAGGAGGCUUGGUUGUCCAUCUGACCUGGGCAGAAGGGCGCAGCACAUCAUCAAUGGAAAUUACGUUAAGCCGAGUGUGAGCGUGGAGGAUUCCUGCCACUGGGACCAUCUACUGACAAUACAGGAAAGGAAACCAAGGCUCGGGCUCCCUCCGCCCCCCACGCCCGGCACACCCUGCUCAUUCCCGUCAGCUUCAUGGCCACAGCCCGGCGUCAUAAUUAAGUCGCAGAAAGCCGUGUGGAAGGUGGUGGUGGUUGGUUUUUUGCCCCUGGGGAAUCAAAACAGUGAUAAUGAAACAGGACCAGUAAUCUGACUUUAAUGAAAUGCAGAGUCUCAUUCACCACAUUUGGCAAAGAUGUUAAGUCAGGGAAAGCCAUCAGCACGUUCCCAUAUCAAUAAAAUGCAAUUCCUUGUGUUCUUUACGUAGAACAAUAAGGCAGCCUCCGUGGAGAACACGUGGGCUCGCCUGCCUGCGGUUCUCUCGUGCAACUGAGAGAUCCACUUCCUGUACAACUGGGGAAUGGAUCGGUUGGCUGCUGAAAAACCCGUGCGUUACCGCGUUAGACGGCAUCUCCAGCAUUUUCUGUGGCGAAACAACUUGUGCUGCAGAUCUAUGUUUGUGGGGGGGACGGGGGACGGCAGAGCUGAACGCCUAGGAGGGGACUUAAUGGGAACUAAGCGGGGUGCGCAGGCCCACUCUCGAGUAAGCCUUUCAAAUCUGCAUUGCAUCCAGAAGGCUUUUUAUUUUAAAGCCAAUUUAAAAAGUCAAUAAUCAUUAAAUAUGCAGAGACAUUUGUACGCUUCCUGCUUUGUUCUUUGGCUUGCUUCCAAAUGAGGCCAUGCGUGCUUCUGUCAUUUGCUGGUUGGUUGGCUUAGCAAAUCCAGAGAUCAGGGUGACACUGGAACCUGCCUCACUGAACCCCUGUCUUUCCAGAGAGAUGCUGGGAUGGCAAAACCCAGAACAGCUCUCCUCCUUCUCCUGGAGCCCAUGAGGAACUGAAAGGCAAGGCAAGCUUCCCUUACGGGGGGUCUGACACUGGGGUCCUCACCCUGCCCUCCGGCUCCUCCCAGGAGCAGCCUUUCCCGGGGUCCCUGCUGCUGUCCCAGUAAACCCUGGUCCUGCUUGGACAGAUUCUACCUGGCCUGCGUCCCGCCUGGGACACAUCGGCAGGUGACCCUGGCCCCGAGUCCCUCGCAGACGCCCUCCCUGGAGCCCUGCCUGCCCCUGGCACCCUGGCAGCCGGAAGACCAGCUUGUGGCUUGGCAAGGCGACUCGUGUUGGAGCGCGGCGUGCCCUCACCCUGGCCAGGACACGCUGGGUUUGGAGCGCGGCUUCUUGGUGUCUGCUCCGGGCAGCCACUGACUUAUCUUUGAGCACAUCCUGGAACAAUACUCUAAGAUAAAUACUCUGCCAAGCCUUUUACUCCAUGGCUAUUUACUUUGCAUUUCCAUGAUCUCAAUGGAACCCAGAAGGGAGGAGACAGAACGCUGGGCAAACAAUCCUUGGCCUCCGUGUGCGCACAAGGGGAGGACUGAGGGAUGCUGUUUUGUUUUCCCUGACGUGACACAGCCCUCCUGUCUGCGUGCAGAUCCGAGUCACUCAGAAGAUUCCACUCGGCCCAGCAGGCUGGAUAACUCCGCUCCCAGAGGGGGAAGACAGGGCCCAGGGCGGCGGUGCCACUGGAAGACAGUCUGCACGCCCUGUCCUACCCCGUUAGCCUCGGGGUCCUGGGCGAGACCUUGAGCUUGCACGCGUCUCUGCUCCAUUCCUCCCUGGAGAGACACCUGGGCUUCAGGGGACUCACCCCUCCAGACUCUUCUGUUUCCAGCAGGAUGCUGUAUCCCCUGAACCCAAGGCUCUGGAAAUCCAAGGAGAGAAACACCAAGCUGUGAACCGGCAGCCUGCUUUUUCCAAGGAUGGCUCUCACAUGAGCCUUAUCGUCAUCAUGGGAUUGCGCUAUUUUUAAAAGCCCGCAGAGGUGAGAACUGAUUUUGAAAGGUUAAGUCCACAAAGAAAAAGUCAGCACGCUAUCAGAAUUUGUUCUAGACUCACCCACAUUUGUCAAGGAGACCUUUCCAGCUACGCUCCCUGCCUCUUCCUCCUCCUGGUCCUGCUCAAUGAGCUGCACACGCAAAGAUCUGCCCUCGACAAACAGACGCAGGUCCCCGGGAAAAGCCGCCAACAGGAAAAACACAAGAGGAAGAGGAUGUUAAAUUGCUCAAGGGCCACUCUGCUUACUCCUACUGAGCCCAACGCGUCUCCGCGCCUCGGCCGGGGCAGCAGGUGCACGUCUCCAUGACAACAGCCAGAGGUGGGCUACCGAGUGCUUUCCCAGGACCCAGGGGAGGGGCGUCUAUUUUAUUUUAUUUUUUUAUCUCCCAGGUAGGAAGUGGUGAAGGUGCGGGCACUGGCUGCCUCCUGAAGCUCUCGGAACUGGCAGGGACUGCAGUAGCUUGGAGAAAGUGACACAAGUCCAAGGCCGGCGGGGGUGGGUGGGUGUUCACAUCACGGUGCUGGCUGCCUGUCCUGUCUCCUCACACCCCUAGGGGAGCCUUGGAAACACACCUGCUUGCAGCGUCCAGCCUCUGUGGCUCUGAGACUCCCUGAUAGACCGUGGUCUCACUUCCAUCAGCUUUGUUGGUUCCAGACGUGCUUGGGAGGCAUCUUUGAAUAAGCUUUGCACGCAGAGGUACGAGGAGGCCAUAUGGAUAACACAUCAAGUGCUUUGGAAGACAUUAGCCUGGGAGACGCACCAGCGUUAGCUCUGCUAAGACGAGGAGAGCUACCCAGCAAAGCCACAGUCUGACGUGGCGGGGUUCCCACACGAGCAAGAAGGGUGCACGCGAGGACGCUGGACCCCAGACCCCUCAGCCUGCUGUCGGUGACAGUGCCCGCCAUGCCAGGGGUCAGGCCCACUCCCUUUCUGUCCCACCCCAGGCAGGGGCCCAAUUCUGGUUCUUUCUUUCCCACGCUGCCUUCCUCACUGGCAAGGCCACCACCAUCCAGCUCAGCCUUUGUUCCUUCCCCUGCAACACCUCCUAAACAUGGAAACAUUAGGAGCUCAGACCCUAAGCAGGCAGAUACCUCUCCCUUAAAUAUCACCGCAUUGAAUUAAGAGCCUCUGUUGCUUUACAUGCAUUUACAUGUAAAUAUAUAUUUGCUUUAUAUAUGAA